rnacentral:rRNA from 1 species
UUGGAGGGCAAGUCUGGUGCCAGCAGCCGCGGUAAUUCCAGCUCCAAUAGCGUAUAUUAAGGUUGUUGCAGUUAAAAAGCUCGUAGUUGAACUUCGGAAUCAAUGGAUUGGUCAUGCCGUUGGUAUGUACUGGUCAUAUUGGUUCUCACCUUCUAAGGAACCAUAAUGUCAUUCAUUUGAUGUUUUGGGGAAUUAGGACUGUUACCUUGAAAAAAUUAGAGUGUUUAAAGCAGGCUAACGCUUGAAUACAUUAGCAUGGAAUAAUGAAAUAGGACAUCGCAUUCUAUUUUGUUGGUUUCUAGGAUCGAUGUAAUGAUUAAUAGGGAUAGUUGGGGGCAUUAGUAUUCAAUUGUCANAGGUGAAAUUCUUGGAUUUAUUGAAGACUAACUACUGCGAAAGCAUUUGCCAAGGAUGUUUUCAUUAAUCAAGAACGAAAGUUAGGGGAUCGAAGACGAUCAGAUACCGUCGUAGUCUUAACCAUAAACUAUGCCGACUAGGGAUCGGAUGAUGUUGAUUUUUUAAUGACUCAUUCGGCACCUUACGGGAAAC